rnacentral:tRNA from 3 species
GCCCGGGUGGCGGAAUUGGUAGACGCUACGGACUUAAAAUCCGUUGUCCGAAAGGACGUGCCGGUUCGAGUCCGGCCCUGGGCACCA